rnacentral:tRNA from 1 species
GCAGUCGUGGCCGAGUGUUUAAGGCGAUGGACUAGAAAUCCAUUCGGGUCUCCCCGCACAGGUUCGAAUCCUGUCGACUGCG